GUACACGCUGUGACUAGCAUAUCAAUAAGCGGAGGAAAAGAAACUAACAAGGAUUCCCCUAGUAACGGCGAGUGAAGCGGGAAGAGCUCAAAUUUGAAAUCUUAAAGGGUUUCCCUUUACGAAUUGUAGUUUAAAGAAGUGUUUUCUGUUGAGGUUUUGGUAAAAGUUCUUUGGAAUAGGACAUCAUAGAGGGUGAGAAUCCCGUAUUUGACCUUUACUUUCAACUUUGUGAUACACUUUCAAAGAGUCGGAUUGUUUGGGAAUGCAGUCCAAAAUGGGUGGUAAAUUUCAUCUAAAGCUAAAUAUUGGCGAGAGACCGAUAGCGAACAAGUACCGUGAGGGAAAGAUGAAAAGAACUUUGAAAAGAGAGUUAAACAGUACGUGAAAUUGUCAAAAGGGAAGCGUUUGACACCAGUGUUGUUUUUCUGAAAAUCAAUUAAAGAACUGUUUAUGCUAAGUUGUUUAGACUUUAUCAGCUAUACUGUUUAGUUUUGAGCUUUUCUUUAAUGCACUUUUCAGUUAACAAGUCAACAUCAAUUUCUUUUGCUGUAAAAAAGCUUGAGGAAGGUGGCUUGAGAUUCGUCUUAAGUGUUUAUAGCCUCUUGCCUAUGCAGUCGGAGAGAUUGAGGUCUGCAGCGUAGAUCCUUCGGGGCUAAAUGCAUUUGUGCUAAGUUAUAGCAUUUUAUAGACAACUUGUUGACUAUGAUUUGUCUUGUAGCUUACUCGCUUAUGUUAUUUUACCUACGCUUAGGAUGUUGACACACGCGCGUGCUCG
rnacentral:rRNA from 1 species